rnacentral:lncRNA from 1 species
ACUGGCGGGGCAAGGAGGAUCUCCAAGUUCCAGGGGAGCCUGAGGAUUGGGCCCCCACCUUGGGUUCAUGCCAGCUCCCUUCCCACGCGACAUCCCGCCUUCUAGCCGGUGGCUGACAUGGCGACUUUGUGAAGAAUGUCCCGAUGAACCACGGCGUGUACACGUGGCCGGACGGCAGCAUGUAUGAAGGCGAAGUGGUCAACGGCAUGAGGAACGGAUUCGGGAUGUUCAAGUGCAGCACCCAGCCUGUGUCCUACAUCGGCCACUGGUGCAAUGGCAAGCGGCACGGGAAGUUAUAAAUCUGGAAAUAUAUACGAAGGCCAGUGGGAAGACAACAUGCGCCACGGGGAGGGGAGGAUGAGGUGGCUGACCACCAACGAAGAGUACACCGGGCGGUGGGAGAGGGGCAUCCAGAAUGGCUUUGGAACACACACAUGGUUUCUAAAGAGAAUCCGCAGUUCCCAGUAUCCUUUGAGAAAUGAAUACAUAGGG